rnacentral:snoRNA from 1 species
AGACUCUUGAAGAUGUGGACAAUACAGAAAAAGAUCUUUAAACUUCUCCCAUGUAUGAUAUAAAUUCUCAUCUGUCUUAUGUUUGAAGCAUACAAUCUCACUAUGUAGUUU